AUUGAACGCUGGCGGCAGGCCUAACACAUGCAAGUCGAGCGAGAGGCGGACGGGUGAGUAAUGUAUGGGGAUCUGCCUGAUAGAGGGGGAUAACUACUGGAAACGGUGGCUAAUACCGCAUACCAUCAGAUGUACCCAUAUGGGAUUAGCUAGUAGGUGGGGUAACGGCUCACCAAGGCGACGAUCCCUAGCUGGUCUGAGAGGAUGACCAGCCACACUGGAACUGAGACACGGCCCGGACUCCUACGGGAGGCAGCAGUGGGGAAUAUUGCACAAUGGGCGCAAGCCUGAUGCAGCCAUGCCGCGUGUAUGAAGAAGGCCUUAGGGUUGUAAAGUACUUUCAGCGGGGAGGCGUUACCCGCAGAAGAAGCACCGGCUAACUCCGUGCCAGCAGCCGCGGUAAUAC
rnacentral:rRNA from 1 species